rnacentral:sRNA from 1 species
GAAUGAAAAUAGCCCUAAAGUUUGACUUUGUGAGUGUGUACCAGGAAGAACACAGAGUGAGGAGGAUGUGGUGAUUGAAGACUUUGAGGAAGAUUCAGAGGCUGAAGGCAGCGGAGGCGAGGAUGACAUCAGGGAGCUUCGGGCCAAGAAGCUGGCUCUGGCCAGGAAGAUAGCUGAGCAGCAGCGUCGCCAGGAAAAGAUCCAGGCUGUCCUGGAGGACCACAGUCAGAUGAGGCAGAUGGAGCUCGAAAUCAGACCUUUGUUCCUCGUACCAGACACCAACGGCUUCAUUGACCACCUGGCCAGUCUGGCGCGGCUGCUGGAGAGCAGGAAGUACAUCCUGGUGGUGCCCCUCAUCGUGAUCAAUGAGCUGGACGGCCUGGCCAAGGGGCAGGAGACAGACCACCGGGCUGGGGGCUACGCCCGUGUGGUACAAGAGAAGGCCCGCAAGUCCAUCGAGUUCCUCGAGCAGCGAUUCGAGAGUCGGGACUCUUGCCUGCGAGCCCUGACCAGCCGUGGCAAUGAACUCGAAUCCAUCGCCUUCCGCAGUGAGGACAUCACUGGCCAGCUGGGUAACAACGAUGAUCUCAUCCUGUCCUGCUGCCUCCACUACUGCAAAGACAAGGCUAAGGACUUCAUGCCUGCCAGCAAAGAGGAGCCAAUCCGGCUACUGCGGGAGGUGGUGCUGUUGACGGAUGACCGGAACCUGCGUGUGAAGGCGCUCACAAGGAAUGUUCCUGUACGGGACAUCCCAGCCUUCCUCACGUGGGCCCAGGUGGGCUGAGGGAGCCACACUGGGGCCCCCCCACCGUGGAACCGUUCCUGAAAGGCCACCAGGCGCCCAGUGUAGCACGGAAGAUGCCCACGUGCCUGAGCCACCAAUCCACCCAGACAAUAAACCA